rnacentral:misc_RNA from 1 species
GUAGGUGAACCUGCGGAAGGAUCAUUACUGAUUUUUAGCGGACCUGAUCUUUGGUCAUGGUCUCGCGAAAACUUGUAUUUAAAACCCCACUCUUAUAAAUUGAAUCAUUUUAUAUUAUGUAUAUAAUAAUAAAUAAAGAUCACUUUCAACAACGGAUCUCUUGGCUCUCGCAUCGAUGAAGAACGCAGCAUCUGACUGACUCCGGGAUU